rnacentral:rRNA from 1 species
AUUGAACGCUGGCGGCAGGCCUAACACAUGCAAGUCGAACGGUAGAGUAGCAAUACUUGAGAGUGGCGAACGGGUGAGUAAUAUAUCGGAACGUGCCCAGUCGUGGGGGAUAACGUAGCGAAAGCUACGCUAAUACCGCAUACGAUCUACGGAUGAAAGCGGGGGAUCGCAAGACCUCGCGCGAUUGGAGCGGCCGAUAUCAGAUUAGGUAGUUGGUGAGGUAAAGGCUCACCAAGCCGACGAUCUGUAGCUGGUCUGAGAGGACGACCAGCCACACUGGGACUGAGACACGGCCCAGACUCCUACGGGAGGCAGCAGUGGGGAAUUUUGGACAAUGGGGGCAACCCUGAUCCAGCAAUGCCGCGUGAGUGAAGAAGGCCUCGGUUGUAAGACGUCUUUUUGUUACGUAGGGAAGGAAACGGUAGAGAGCU